rnacentral:rRNA from 1 species
CGGCGUGCUUAACACAUGCAAGUCGAACGAGAAAGUCUCUUCGGAGAGCGAGUAGAGUGGCGCACGGGUGAGUAACACGUGGAUAAUCUACCUUUGAAUCUGGAAUAACCUUUCGAAAGAAAGGCUAAUACCGGAUAAGGUCAAGAUACCCCUGGGUGUUUUGAUGAAAGUCGGCCUCUGAUUCAAGCCGAUGUUUGAAGAUGAGUCCGCGCACCAUUAGCUUGUUGGUGGGGUAACGGCCUACCAAGGCAACGAUGGUUAGCUGGUCUGAGAGGAUGAUCAGCCACACUGGAACUGACACACGGUCCAGACUCCUACGGGAGGCAGCAGUGAGGGAUUUUGCGCAAUGGGGGAAACCCUGACGCAGCAACGCCGCGUGAGUGAAGAAGGCCCUUGGGUCGUAAAACUCUGUCAACAGGGAAGAAGUUGACGUGUAUUAACAGUAUGCGUCAUUGACGGUACCUGUGAAGGAAGCACCGGCUAACUCCGUGCCAGCAGCCGCGGUAACACGGGGGGUGCAAGCGUUAUUCGGAAUCAUUGGGCGUAAAGGGCACGCAGGCGGCCCUGUCAGUCAGAUGUGAAAGCCCGGGGCUUAACCCCGGACGUGCAUUUGAAACAGCAGGGCUUGAGUAU